CGCGUAGGCGGUUUGGUAAGUCGGAUGUGAAAGCCCCGGGCUUAACCUGGGAAUUGCAUUCGAUACUGCUUGACUAGAGUAUGGUAGAGGGAAGUGGAAUUCCAGGUGUAGCGGUGAAAUGCGUAGAUAUCUGGAGGAACAUCAGUGGCGAAGGCGACUUCCUGGACCAAUACUGACGCUGAGGUGCGAAAGCGUGGGAAGCAAACA
rnacentral:rRNA from 1 species